GGAAAUAAGGCUUAAUGGUAGAGUGCUUGCCUAGCAUGCAUGAGGCCCUGGGUUCGAUUCCUCAGUACCA
rnacentral:tRNA from 1 species